AGUGAACGCUGGCGGUAGGCCUAACACAUGCAAGUCGAACGGCAGCACAGUAAGAGCUUGCUCUUACGGGUGGCGAGUGGCGGACGGGUGAGGAAUACAUCGGAAUCUACUUUUUCGUGGGGGAUAACGUAGGGAAACUUACGCUAAUACCGCAUACGACCUACGGGUGAAAGCAGGGGAUCUUCGGACCUUGCGCGAUUGAAUGAGCCGAUGUCGGAUUAGCUAGUUGGCGGGGUAAAGGCCACCAAGGCGAUGAUCCGUAGCUGGUCUGAGAGGAUGAUCAGCCACACUGGAACUGAGACACGGUCCAGACUCCUACGGGAGGCAGCAGUGGGGAAUAUUGGACAAUGGGCGCAAGCCUGAUCCAGCCAUACCGCGUGGGUGAAGAAGGCCUUCGGGUUGUAAAGCCCUUUUGUUGGGAAAGAAAAGCAGCAGGUUAAUACCCCGCUGUUCUGACGGUACCCAAAGAAUAAGCACCGGCUAACUUCGUG
rnacentral:rRNA from 1 species